rnacentral:rRNA from 1 species
UGGGGAAUUUUGGACAAUGGGGGAAACCCUGAUCCAGCCAUCCCGCGUGUGCGAUGAAGGCCUUCGGGUUGUAAAGCACUUUUGGCAGGAAAGAAACGUCAUGGGUUAAUACCCCGUGAAACUGACGGUACCUGCAGAAUAAGCACCGGCUAACUACGUGCCAGCAGCCGUGGUAAUACGUAGGGUGCAAGCGUUAAUCGGAAUUACUGGGCGUAAAGCGUGCGCAGGCGGUUCGGAAAGAAAGAUGUGAAAUCCCAGAGCCCAACUUUGGAACUGCAUUUUUAACUACCGGGCUAGAGUGUGUCUGAGGAAGGUGGAAUUCCGCGUGUAGCAGUGAAAUGCGUAGAUAUGCGGAGGAACACCGAUUGCGAAGGCAACCUCCUGGGAUAACACUGACGCUCAUGCACGAAAGCGUGGGGAGCAAACAGG